rnacentral:misc_RNA from 1 species
AAGUCGUAACAAGGUUUCCGUAGGUGAACCUGCGGAAGGAUCAUAUAAUGAAUUUGAACAGGACUUGAUGCUGGUCUCCUCGGAGGCAUGUGCUCAGUUCUAAUCAUUCCAUUCAACACCUGUGCACUUUCAAAGCUGUAGUCCUCCGUCAUGGGAGCCGCGUCUUGUAAUGAGAUGCUGGGAUUACACUUUGCCCUUAUCAUAAACUCUAUUAAAGUCUGUAGAAUGUUAAUAGCCUAAAGGCUUAAUCUAUACAACUUUCAACAACGGAUCUCUUGGCUCUC